CUCGGGUCCCCGUCCGGCUCCCUGUCCGGCUCUCUGUUACCCCAGCUCUGCCAAUUCUCCCCUCGAGGCUCCCACCUCCCUGCACUACAGCGAGCCGUGGGGGAGGAGGCAUGGGGAAAGCCUGAACUGCCGAGAGGGAAAAGACCAGAUCAGAAGCGGAGAAGCCAGGCGGAAGGCGGCCAACGGAGAAUUGGGAAGGGGUGUGCGUGGUCCUACCUGCUCAGAACCACCUCUUCUGGGAGACGGAGACCUGCUGCUGUUCGUAGCUUAAGACAGAAAUGUCUUCGAGGGCACCUGAUCUUUUCGGGAGGAACCGGAGGUCACAUCUUUCCCCAGAAGUUAAAAAGUGGGACAUCAGAGUUCUUAUUGCUGCAUCUUAAAAGGACACUGAAUAAAGGCAGGGAGCAACGAAGGGGAAGAAAGAGAGAGCUCUGCCGACUUUCUGGAUCUCUGGAUAGCUUGGACCUCACACUCUCUUGCCAGUCAUCCAGUCACAGGCAGGUCUUCACUGAGCCAGAAAUGUCAGUUGCAGCUCUGGGGUUGAAACUCACACCAAGUUUAUUGUGUCUGUGUGCGUUCCAUGGCAAUACCCACCAACACUCUAUGGAAGCUUCAUCUGCUACUGUGAAGAAAAAUAAAUAAACCAGGAUACAGACACACAGCCCACCACCUUCAAGAGGAAGAAUGUAGGUCAGCAUCUCUGCCACUACUCCCUGCGAAACAGCCUAUGCUCCUGGCAAAAAACAAGUAACCACAGGCUCAGCCCAGCCCCUUAAAAAUCCCACCAGAGCUGUCAGCUUCAGUGAGAAAAGGACUUUCUUCCCCCUCUCAGUCCGCUCCAGCUGUCUGAAUCACACUGAAGACCUCGCUGACAAACAUGCAUCAGGUGUUGCUCCCACAAGGGCAGCGGAAGCCAAGCAGGGACUCUAAGGCAGCUUCACGCAUCAUUGACAGAACCAACCCUGUUCCAAUUGCUGAAGUCUUAAGAGCAUCAAUGACCUAGAAAUUGACAGUGUGGGGAGAAUGGAAGGAAAGGAAACUAACAAACCAGUACACAGAAAACCUGAUUUCCAAAUACCAGGGGAAAGGAAGAGAAAGGAGGUAGAGGGGAAAGAAAUUUGGCCCCUUUGAAUCUGCAAAGGCGAUCUUGGCUCAGAGCCAUGGAGGAUGCAUAGACGCCCCACUGCGAGGCAAACCACGUUCCUGACUCCAGCCCUGCAGUUAAGAGGAAGGCGCCAAGCCUCCAACACAACGAGGUGGGGAGGCUGCUCCUUUUUGGGCAGGAUCCUACUGUGGACACAGAACAGACAGCAGCUGCCCACAGUGUGGAAACAAACUGUAAAGCAGUCACGUCUCUUAAGGCUGCAG